ensembl:lncRNA
AGUGGCCCCUCUUAGCUCUUGGUGGCUCCCAAUGGCUCCCAAUGGCUCCCAGUAGCUCCCAGUAUCCCCUCUUAGCUCUUAGUGGCUCUUGGUGGCUCUCAAUGGCUCCCAAUGGCUCCCACUACCUCUGAGUGGCCGAGUGGGGGGUGGGAGAGCACCCUAACACUCCAUGCUUCCUGCAGCCAUCAUCCCAGCAUCUCACGUUGGGUUUGGGGGCACCUCUUGGGACCAGGUCUCAUCCUUCCCCCCCCCACCAUGGCCCCGUCCUGCUGCAGGGAGAGCAAUAACAGUUCCAGGCAGAACAUCAGUGCCUUUCUUUGAGUUUGGAAGUGAUUGCUUCUCGUUCCAGCUCGGGAAUCACUUUUGGAGUCACUUUUCAUCUCCAGAUACUCAGAAGCAAAGUGAAAGAGAGCCCAGAAGGAUCCCGUGCCAUCAUCAGAGUAAUUUUCAAGUACCCCGUUGUGGUUCCCAGUGCCUUAUUGCCACCCUGGAUCCAACAAGAGGUAUCGUGGUUCAUCUCACUCUUCUCCUCCUCUGCCUCCCUCCCCGGGACUCACUCACAGAAUCCCCCAUCUUGGGGGUGGUACCCCAUACCCUCGGGGUGCUCACAUCGUCCCCAUGUCCCCAAAGUGCUCACCCCAUCCCUAUGUCCCCAGAAUGCUCACAGCAUCACCCAUCCUGGGGUGCUCACACCAUCCCCAUGUCCCCAAGGUCCUUACCCCAUCCCCCAUCUUGGGGUGCUCACCCCAUCCCCAUGUUCUUGGGGUGCUCACACCACCCCCAUGUCCCCAGGAUGCUCACAGCGUUACCCAUCUUGGGGUGCUCACACCAUCCCCAUGUCCUCAGAAUGCUCACACAAUCCCCCAUCUUGGAGUGCUCACAUCGUCCCCAUGAUCUUGGGGUGCUCACACCAUCCCCAUGUCCCCAAGGUCCUCACACCAUCACCAUUCUUGGGGUGCUCACACCAUCCCCAUGUCCCCAACGUCCUCACACCAUCCCCAUGUCCGCAAGGUCUUCACACCAUCACCCAUCUUGGGGUGCUCACACCAUCCUCAUGUUCUUGGAGUGCUCACAUCGUCCCCAUGAUCUUGGGGUGCUCACACCAUCCCCAUGUCCCCAAGGUCCUCACACCAUCACCAUUCUUGGGGUGCUCACACCAUCCCCAUGUCCCCAACGUCCUCACACCAUCCCCAUGUCCGCAAGGUCUUCACACCAUCACCCAUCUUGGGGUGCUCACACCAUCCCCAUGAUCUUGGGGUGCUCAAACCAUCACGAUUCUUGCGGUCCUCACACCAUCCCCAUGAUCUUGGGGUGCUCACAUCACCCCCAUGUCCCCAGGAUGCUCACAGCAUCAUCCAUCUUGGGGUGCUCACACCAUCCCCAUGAUCUGGGGGUGCUCAUACCAUCACCAUUCUUGGGGUGCUCACACCAUUGCCCAUCUCGGGGUGCUCACACCAUCCCCAUGUUCUUGGGUUGCUCACACCAUCCCCAUGAUCUUGGGGUGCUCAUACCAUCACCAUUCUUGGGGUGCUCACAUUAUCCCCAUGUUCUUGGGGUGCUCACAUCACCCUCAUGUCCCCAGGAUGCUCACAGCAUCAUCCAUCUUGGGGUCCUCAAACCAUCCCCAUGUCCCCAAGGUCCUCAAACCAUCACCCAUCUCGGGGUGCUCACAUCACCCCCAUGUCCCCAAAUGCUCAC